GCCUCCUCCCGGCCGGCGACGCUGCGGGCACCCUUGCGCCGGGGGCUCCGGCGCCCCCAGGAAGUUCUGGGUUGUAACCUGUACUUCUCACUUUGGUAUCUUUCGCACUUACGAAAACUACCGUUCGAGUGAAAAAUAACCCUUUCUGUUGCGGCCUAACGUCUCCAGGCUCCAGUUUCCCGCGUUUCCUUUGCAAACGGAAAAAAACAGGAAUCUGGUGCUCAAAACGCAUUGCAGUUCCCUGUGCCUGCAGUGGACAGCUGAUGACAGAUGUGUCAGUAAGCAGCAGAGGGCCUCAUUACCUUGGCUUCAAAAUACUGUAACAGCUUGGGAAGAAUAUUGGCUGGGGUUCCUUGCUCAUGUCAGAGUUCCACUGGCAACCUGUGAAGCAAAUGGGCCCAGCAGCUUUGCAGAUGAGUUUUUAUUCCUAAGAAUUGAAAGGAAACACAAAAACUGACAAGAUUCCCAAAUCCAAGAUAUAGAUAACUAGAGCCUUAAGGACUGCUUCAAGUCUAGAAAAAGAAGGCAGGCAACCUAUCCUAGAUUUUUGACAAAGCCCAAGACACCGUGGAUGGAGAUGGGAAUAGAGCUCCAGGGGAAAGGCAGGAAAGGUGCUCUGUGAAGCUUGCCCAUGUAUUCUAUCUCAUUCUAACCUCACCUUUGCUCUGUAUUUUUUUUUUUGGAAUUUUAGAAUUUUAUUUAUUUUUUUUAUACAGCAGGUUCUUAUUAGUUAUCCAUUUUAUUGCUCUGUAUUUUUUAACACUUGUUCUUCCUGUGGGUUACAUUCUUUGGACUGUGUUCAUUAAAUUAAAUUCAAUAAAUGUUUAUUUAGUAACAUAUGGAAA